rnacentral:rRNA from 1 species
CCAGACUCCUACGGGAGGCAGCAGUGAGGAAUAUUGGUCAAUGGACGCAAGUCUGAACCAGCCAAGUAGCGUGCAGGAUGACGGCCCUCCGGGUUGUAAACUGCUUUUAGUUGGGAAUAAAAGGGGGCUCGUGAGCCCCGUAUUGUAUGUACCAUCAGAAAAAGGACCGGCUAAUUCCGUGCCAGCAGCCGCGGUAAUACGGAAGGUCCGGGCGUUAUCCGGAUUUAUUGGGUUUAAAGGGAGCGUAGAUGGGUUGUUAAGUCAGUUGUGAAAGUUUGCGGCUCAACCGUAAAAUUGCAAUUGAUACUGGCAGCCUUGAGUACAGUUGAGGUAGGCGGAAUUCGUGGUGUAGCGGUGAAAUGCUUAGAUAUCACGAAGAACUCCGAUUGCGAAGGCAGCAUACCGGCGCCCGACUGACGCUGAAGCACGAAAGCGUGGGUAUCGAACAGGAUUAGAUACCCGUGUA